rnacentral:rRNA from 1 species
CCUACGGGAGGCAGCAGUGGGGAAUCUUGCGCAAUGGGCGAAAGCCUGACACAGCCAUGCCGCGUGAAUGAUGAAGGUCUUAGGAUUGUAAAAUUCUUUCACCGGGGACGAUAAUGACGGUACCCGGAGAAGAAGCCCCGGCUAACUUCGUGCCAGCAGCCGCGGUAAUACGAAGGGGGCUAGCGUUGCUCGGAAUUACUGGGCGUAAAGGGAGCGUAGGCGGAUAGUUUAGUCAGAGGUGAAAGCCCAGGGCUCAACCUUGGAAUUGCCUUUGAUACUGGCUAUCUUGAGUGUGGGAGAGGUAUGUGGAACUCCGAGUGUAGAGGUGAAAUUCGUAGAUAUUCGGAAGAACACCAGUGGCGAAGGCGACAUACUGGCCCAUUACUGACGCUGAGGCUCGAAAGCGUGGGGAGCAAACAGGAUUAGAUACCCUGGUAGUCCACGCUGUAAACGAUGAGUGCUAGUUGUCGGCAUGCAUGCAUGUCGGUGACGCAGCUAACGCAUUAAGCACUCCGCCUGGGGAGUACGGUCGCAAGAUUAAAACUCAAAGGAAUUGAGG